rnacentral:rRNA from 1 species
CGGGACACGUGGUAUCCUGUCUGAAUAUGGGGGGACCAUCCUCCAAGGCUAAAUACUCCUGACUGACCGAUAGUGAACCAGUACCGUGAGGGAAAGGCGAAAAGAACCCCGGCGAGGGGAGUGAAAAAGAACCUGAAACCGUGUACGUACAAGCAGUGGGAGCCUCUUAAUGGGGUGACUGCGUACCUUUUGUAUAAUGGGUCAGCGACUUAUAUUCUGUAGCAAGGUUAACCGAAUAGGGGAGCCGAAGGGAAACCGAGUCUUAACUGGGCGUUAAGUUGCAGGGUAUAGACCCGAAACCCGGUGAUCUAGCCAUGGGCAGGUUGAAGGUUGGGUAACACUAACUGGAGGACCGAACCGACUAAUGUUGAAAAAUUAGCGGAUGACUUGUGGCUGGGGGUGAAAGGCCAAUCAAACCGGGAGAUAGCUGGUUCUCCCCGAAAGCUAUUUAGGUAGCGCCUCGUGAAUUCAUCUCCGGGGGUAGAGCACUGUUUCGGCAAGGGGGUCAUCCCGACUUACCAACCCGAUGCAAACUGCGAAUACCGGAGAAUGUUAUCACGGGAGACACACGGCGGGUGCUAACGUCCGUCGUGAAGAGGGAAACAACCCAGACCGCCAGCUAAGGUCCCAAAGUCAUGGUUAAGUGGGAAACGAUGUGGGAAGGCCCAGACAGCCAGGAUGUUGGCUUAGAAGCAGCCAUCAUUUAAAGAAAGCGUAAUAGCUCACUGGUCGAGUCGGCCUGCGCGGAAGAUGUAACGGGGCUAAACCAUGCACCGAAGCUGCGGCAGCGACACUAUGUGUUGUUGGGUAGGGGAGCGUUCUGUAAGCCUGUGAAGGUGUACUGUGAGGUAUGCUGGAGGUAUCAGAAGUGCGAAUGCUGACAUAAGUAACGAUAAAGCGGGUGAAAAGCCCGCUCGCCGGAAGACCAAGGGUUCCUGUCCAACGUUAAUCGGGGCAGGGUGAGUCGACCCCUAAGGCGAGGCCGAAAGGCGUAGUCGAUGGGAAACAGGUUAAUAUUCCUGUACUUGGUGUUACUGCGAAGGGGGGACGGAGAAGGCUAUGUUGGCCGGGCGACGGUUGUCCCGGUUUAAGCGUGUAGGCUGGUUUUCCAGGCAAAUCCGGAAAAUCAAGGCUGAGGCGUGAUGACGAGGCACUACGGUGCUGAAGCAACAAAUGCCCUGCUUCCAGGAAAAGCCUCUAAGCAUCAGGUAACA